AUAUAUAUAUAUAUAUAUAUAAAGUAAAAGGAAUAAAAAGAAAAAGAAUAGAAAAAGAAAGAAAUGAUCAAACGAAACAGAGAGCAGGGGAAAGAAAGAAGAAAGGUACAGAGAGCAGGGGAAAGAAAGAAGGAAGGAAAAAAGAAAGAAGGAAAGAUGGGAAAAUUGGGACUUCAAGGUUUGAAAGUUAAAUAGCUAACGUUGUCUCGGGAAAUCUCGGCUAAGCAAGAAAAAAUGACAAAGACAACGGGAGUUAACUCAAGAAAAUACGGUUUGUAUUUCUAUAAUCGAACUUAAUACUUAAAUUAUUGGAUAUAUAUAUAUAUAUAUAUAUAUAUAUAUAUAGUAGGUGUUUUGGGAUGAUUAUUUGAAUUGGAUUGAAUAUUGAUUAUAUUGAAUUAAUUUAUGAAUAUAUGUGAAUGUUUGAAUUGAAAUGAAUAUUGAUGUGGAAAUUGAAUAAUAAA